GAGACUUCCUCUGUGCACACUGGGAGAAAACAGCCUGCAACACUCACAACCAAGGGGAAAGCAGAGAUCAGGGCUUUCUCAGAUCACCUGUCAGAGUCUGUCACCAGGAAAAGCAAGCCCCAGCAAGGGACAGGAGCUGCAACCAACCAGAAGGAACAUGGCUGUGAGAGCAUUUACUGUGUGAGCCCCUGGGUUCCACCAGGCGCCAUGCGGAAGAGAAUGGAAGGGCUUCAGAGGAGCAGAUACGGGACUAUGGCUGAAGGCGGGAUAGAACAUAAGCUGUUUGCAACCUCGUCCUCAUUGAGGAUCAUCCUGGUGGGCAAAACAGGCAGCGGGAAGAGUGCCAC